rnacentral:rRNA from 1 species
GGCCUUAGUGGCGCACGGGUGCGUAACGCGUGGGAAUCUGCCCCUUGGUUCGGAAUAACAGUUGGAAACGACUGCUAAUACCGGAUGACGACGUAAGUCCAAAGAUUUAUCGCCGAGGGAUGAGCCCGCGUAGGAUUAGGUAGUUGGUGUGGUAAAGGCGCACCAAGCCGACGAUCCUUAGCUGGUCUGAGAGGAUGAUCAGCCACACUGGGACUGAGACACGGCCCAGACUCCUACGGGAGGCAGCAGUGGGGAAUAUUGGACAAUGGGCGAAAGCCUGAUCCAGCAAUGCCGCGUGAGUGAUGAAGGCCUUAGGGUUGUAAAGCUCUUUUACCCGGGAUGAUAAUGACAGUACCGGGAGAAUAAGCUCCGGCUAACUCCGUGCCAGCAGCCGCGGUAAUACGGAGGGAGCUAGCGUUAUUCGGAAUUACUGGGCGUAAAGCGCACGUAGGCGGCUUUGUAAGUAAGAGGUGAAAGCCCAGAGCUCAACUCUGGAAUUGCCUUUUAGACUGCAUCGCUUGAAUCAUGGAGAGGUCAGUGGAAUUCCGAGUGUAGAGGUGAAAUUCGUAGAUAUUCGGAAGAACACCAGUGGCGAAGGCGGCUGACUGGACAUGUAUUGACGCUGAG